GCCUGGGUGGCUAAGUUGGUUAAGCUUCCGACUUUGGCUCAAGUCAUGAUCUCAGGAUUCAUGGGUUCAAGAUCCAUUUCAGGCU
rnacentral:tRNA from 1 species